UGGGGAAUCUUGCACAAUGGGCGCAAGCCUGAUGCAGCCAUGCCGCGUGAGGGAGGAAGGCUCUUGGGUUGUAAACCUCUUUUCUGGGGGAAGAAGUCCUGACGGUACCCCAGGAAUCAGCAUCGGCUAACUCCGUGCCAGCAGCCGCGGUAAUACGGAGGGUGCAAGCGUUAUCCGGAAUUAUUGGGCGUAAAGCGUCCGCAGGUGGAGCGUCAAGUCUGCUGUCAAAGACCGGAGCUUAACUCCGGGCAGGCAGUGGAAACUGGCGAACUAGAGUACGGUAGGGGUAGAGGGAAUUCCCAGUGUAGCGGUGAAAUGCGUAGAGAUUGGGAAGAACACCAGUGGCGAAGGCGCUCUACUGGGCCGUAACUGACACUCAGGGACGAAAGCUAGGGGAGCGAAAGGGAUUAGAUACCCCUGUAGUCC
rnacentral:rRNA from 1 species